AUGAAGUCGGAAUUGCUAGUAAUCGCAGAUCAGCAUGCUGCGGUGAAUACGUUCCCGGGCCUUGUACACACCGCCCGUCACACCAUGGGAGUCGGUAAUACCCGAAGUCAGUAGUCCAACCUCGUGAGGACGCUGCCGAAGGUAGGAUUGGCGACUGGGGUGAAGUCGUAACAAGGUACC
rnacentral:rRNA from 1 species